AUCCCCUUCGGGGGUGACGCUUGUGGAAUGAGCGGCGGACGGGUGAGUAACACGUGGGCAACCUGCCUGUAAGACUGGGAUAACCCCGGGAAACCGGGGCUAAUACCGGAUAAUACUUUCUUUUGCAUAAAGGAAAGUUGAAAGGCGGCUUCGGCUGUCACUUACAGAUGGGCCCGCGGCGCAUUAGCUAGUUGGUGAGGUAACGGCUCACCAAGGCGACGAUGCGUAGCCGACCUGAGAGGGUGAUCGGCCACACUGGGACUGAGACACGGCCCAGACUCCUACGGGAGGCAGCAGUAGGGAAUCUUCCGCAAUGGACGAAAGUCUGACGGAGCAACGCCGCGUGAGUGAUGAAGGUUUUCGGAUCGUAAAACUCUGUUGUUAGGGAAGAACAAGUACGAUAGUAACUGAUCGUACCUUGACGGU
rnacentral:rRNA from 1 species